CCGAUACACAGACAUACACACAAUGAUACCUUGUUUCCCACACACAGAUACACAGACACUCAUGUACACAGAUACACAAUACACACAAUACACACAGACACACAUGGACACACAAAUACACACACACUGACACAAAAGGGUGAGAAGGGGUUACAGUGUGGGGAGGAGGGCAGGGAGAGAAGGGGUACAGUGUAGGGAGAAGGGCAGAGAGAAGGGGUACAGUGUGGGGAGGAGGGCAGGGAGAGAAGGGGUACAGUGUGGGGAGAAGGGCAGAGAGAAGGGGUACAGUGUGGGGAGAAGGGCAGAGAGAAGGGGUACAGUGUGGGGGGGGGAGGUAGGGAAAGAAAGGGUUACAGUGCCGUGGUAACACUCUGGGUGCUCGAGACCGGAGGAGCUGGGCAGACUGAUUGAAGGGAGCCCAGCGGCAUACAGGCCUGACUAAUCAAUCUG